rnacentral:rRNA from 1 species
AGGACUAACGCUGGCGGCGUGCCUAACACAUGCAAGUCGAACGAGGGGUAGCAAUACCCCUAGUGGCAGACGGGUGAGUAACACGUAGUCAACUUACCUCUUAAUGGGGGAUAACUAGCCGAAAGGUUAGCUAAUACCGCAUACGAUCGUCGAGUAGCAUCACACGACGAUGAAAGGAGCAAUCCGUUGAGAGAGGGGACUGCGUCCCAUUAGUUAGUUGGUGGGGUAAUGGCCUACCAAGACUCCGAUGGGUAGCUGGCUUGAGAGAGCGACCAGCCACACUGGAACUGAGACACGGUCCAGACUCCUACGGGAGGCAGCAGUGAGGAAUUUUCCGCAAUGGGGGAAACCCUGACGGAGCGACGCCGCGUGUGGGAAGAAGGCCUUCGGGUCGUAAACCACUGUCGAGGGGGACGAUAUUGACGGUACCCCUGGAGGAAGCCCCGGCUAACUACGCGCCAGCAGCCGC